GUUAGGGUGGCAGAGCCUGGAAAUUGCAUAAAACUUAAAAUCUUAAAAUCAGAGGUUCAACUCCUCUUCCUAAUA
rnacentral:tRNA from 1 species